UCUAAGUUUCUCCGGAAGGUGCAGCUUUGCUGGCUUUCAUGCUGUCAACUGAAGUGGGAGUUCUAGAGGCUCCAGAACCAAGCCCUGGCAGGAAGUAAGGCUGCUGUGCACCCAGCGAAGACGGGGUUGAGGGGACUGCCUUCCACGACCUGGACUGCCUGCCACGACUUGGACUGCCUACCUCCAAACUCAUUUAUGUUAGUCCCGCCAUCCCUGGUCUACAGACAAGGAAGACGAUGACAAGAGCUAGCAUCCACUGCACACUUGGAGGUGUCCAGGUCCUGGGAAUGCAAAGAAUAAACCUCAAUAGGCACCUGACCAGAGGAGGCAGACUUGUAAUCACAGGAUAAUGUGGGGAGCGCAACGAUAAAGAGACGUCUGCGGCUUAUGGGUGGAACAGAGUGGGCCACACGAAUCCACGAUAGGAUGAUCUUGCCACUAGCAACUGAAAACUUGGCUACAGAGAGCUUAAACAAUAAAGAGAUGUGUGACCUUCCAUGAAAAGAAGCCCUAAUGGAGGAGAGCCCAGAGUUGGUUAAUUUAGUGACUGGACACAGACCCAGCUUCUUCUCAUCUUCCCACACUGCCCUUGUCCCUCGGUCUGCUGUUGAGACCCCCUCAUGAUCACAGGAUGGCUGCAGUAGCUUCAGACGCCGUGUAUCAACAGACUAACUCCCAGGGACAGAGAGCGGCCUGUUUCUUCCACAUGCAUGUCUUCUUAAGAAUGAAGAACACUUUCUGAAAAGUACCUACUUCACCACAGCAGACGUCUAACACUGUUUAACCAAGUCACCUGGACACCUAUGAAAGAUCACAGUGCUGAGAAGGAGGACAGCACCAAAAAUGACAUUUAGACCUGUCAAAAUGUAACCAAGUCGUGGGGGGAGGAGGAGAGAAGGGACCUGGAAAUAAAACAGGCU